UACGUAGGUCCCGAGCGUUGUCCGGAUUUAUUGGGCGUAAAGCGAGCGCAGGUGGUUUAUUAAGUCUGGUGUAAAAGGCAGUGGCUCAACCAUUGUAUGCAUUGGAAACUGGUAGACUUGAGUGCAAGAGAGGAGAGUGGAAUUCCAUGUGUAGCGGUGAAAUGCGUAGAUAUAUGGAGGAACACCGGUGGCGAAAGCGGCUGUCUGGCCUGUAACUGACACUGAGGCUCGAAAGCGUGGGGAGCAAACAGG
rnacentral:rRNA from 1 species